AGUGAACGCUGGCGGUAGGCCUAACACAUGCAAGUCGAACGGCAGCACAGUAAGAGCUUGCUCUUACGGGUGGCGAGUGGCGGACGGGUGAGGAAUACAUCGGAAUCUACUUUUUCGUGGGGGAUAACGUAGGGAAACUUACGCUAAUACCGCAUACGACCUACGGGUGAAAGCAGGGGAUCUUCGGACCUUGCGCGAUUGAAUGAGCCGCUGUCGGAUUAGCUAGUUGGCGGGGUAAAGGCCCACCAAGGCGACGGUCCGUAGCUGGUCUGAGAGGAUGAUCAGCCACACUGGAACUGAGACACGGUCCAGACUCCUACGGGAGGAAGCAGUGGGGAAUAUUGGACAAAGGGCGCAAGCCUGCUCCAGCCAUACCGCGUGGGUGAAGAAGGCCUUCGGGUUGUAAAGCCCUUUUGUUGGGAAAGAAAAGCAGCAGGUUAAUACCCCGCUGUUCUGACGGUACCCAAAGAAUAAGCACCGGCUAACUUCGUG
rnacentral:rRNA from 1 species